rnacentral:rRNA from 1 species
GAUGAACGCUGACAGAAUGCUUAACACAUGCAAGUCAACUUGAAUUUGGGUUUUUAACUUAGAUUUGGGUGGCGGACGGGUGAGUAACGCGUAAAGAACUUGCCUCACAGUUAGGGACAACAUUUAGAAAUGAAUGCUAAUACCUGAUAUUAUGAUUUUAAGGCAUCUUAGAAUUAUGAAAGCUAUAAGCACUGUGAGAGAGCUUGCGUCCCAUUAGCUAGUUGGAGAGGUAACAGCUCACCAAGGCGAUGAUGGGUAGCCGGCCUGAGAGGGUGAACGGCCACAAGGGGACUGAGACACGGCCCUUACUCCUACGGGAGGCAGCAGUGGGGAAUAUUGGACAAUGGACCGAGAGUCUGAUCCAGCAAUUCUGUGUGCACGAUGAAGUUUUUCGGAAUGUAAAGUGCUUUCAGUUGGGAAGAAAAAAAUGACGGUACCAACAGAAGAAGUGACGGCUAAAUACGUGCCAGCAGCCGCGGUAAUACGUAUGUCACGAGCGUUAUCCGGAUUUAUUGGGCGUAAAGCGCGUCUAGGUGGUUAUGUAAGUCUGAUGUGAAAAUGCAGGGCUCAACUCUGUAUUGCGUUGGAAACUGUAUAACUAGAGUACUGGAGAGGUAAGCGGAACUACAAGUGUAGAGGUGAAAUUCGUAGAUAUUUGUAGGAAUGCCGAUGGGGAAGCCAGCUUACUGGACAGAUUCUGACGCUAAAGCGCGAAAGCGUGGGUAGCAAACAGG